rnacentral:rRNA from 1 species
CAGUCGCCGCGGUAAUACGUAGGGGGCAAGCGUUAUCCGGAAUUACUGGGUGUAAAGGGAGCGUAGACGGUUAAACAAGUCUGAAGUGAAAUGCCGGGGCUCAACCCCGGAGCUGCUUUGGGAACUGUAGAACUGGAGUGUCGGAGGGGUAAGCGGAAUUCCCAGUGUAGCGGUGAAAUGCGUAGAUAUUGGGAGGAACACCGGCGGCGAAGGCGGCUUACUGGACGACAACUGACGUUGAGGCUCGAAGGCGUGGGUAGCAAACAGGAUUAGAUACCCCGGUAGUCCCUGUCUCUUAUAA